rnacentral:rRNA from 1 species
UACGUAGGGUGCGAGCGUUAAUCGGAAUUACUGGGCGUAAAGCGUGCGCAGGCGGUUCGUUGUGUCGGCGGUGAAAGCCCCGGGCUUAACCUGGGAAUGGCCGUUGAAACUGGCGAACUGGAGUGUGGCAGAGGGGGGUGGAAUUCCGCGUGUAGCAGUGAAAUGCGUAGAGAUGCGGAGGAACACCGAUGGCGAAGGCAGCCCCCUGGGCUGACACUGACGCCUCAGGCACGAAAGCGUGGGGAGCAAACAGG